rnacentral:rRNA from 1 species
CGCAUCUGUGCAUGCAGCAUAUCAAUAAGCGGAGGAAAAGAAACUAACAAGGAUUCCCCUAGUAACGGCGAGUGAAGCGGGAAGAGCUCAAAUUUGAAAUCUUAAAGGGUUUCCCUUUACGAAUUGUAGUUUAAAGAAGUGUUUUCUGUUGAGGUUUUGGUAAAAGUUCUUUGGAAUAGGACAUCAUAGAGGGUGAGAAUCCCGUAUUUGACCUUUACUUUCAACUUUGUGAUACACUUUCAAAGAGUCGGAUUGUUUGGGAAUGCAGUCCAAAAUGGGUGGUAAAUUUCAUCUAAAGCUAAAUAUUGGCGAGAGACCGAUAGCGAACAAGUACCGUGAGGGAAAGAUGAAAAGAACUUUGAAAAGAGAGUUAAACAGUACGUGAAAUUGUCAAAAGGGAAGCGUCUGACACCAGUGUUGUUUUUCUGAAAAUCAAUUAAAGAACUGUUUAUGCUAAGUUGUUUAGACUUUAUCAGCUAACUGUCUAGUUUUGAGCUUUUCUUUAAUGCACUUUUCAGUUAACAAGUCAACAUCAAUUUCUUUUGCUGUAAAAAAGCUUGAGGAAGGUGGCUUGAGAUUCGUCUUAAGUGUUUAUAGCCUCUUGCCUAUGCAGUCGGAGAGAUUGAGGUCUGCAGCGUAGAUCCUUCGGGGCUAAAUGCAUUUGUGCUAAGUUAUAGCAUUUUAUAGACAACUUGUUGACUAUGAUUUGUCUUGUAGCUUACUCGCUUAUGUUAUUUUACCUACGCUUAGGAUGUUGAACGCGCACAGAGUCUC